rnacentral:rRNA from 1 species
CCAAUAGCGUAUAUUAAAGUUGUUGCAGUUAAAAGGCUCGUAGUUGAAUUUCGGGAUCAGUACGCUGGUCAUGCCUUUGGUAUGCACUGGUGUCACUGGUUCCUCCCUUCUGACGAACCGUCAUGCCAUUUACUUGGUGUGGCGGGGAAUCAGGACUGUUACUUUGAAAAAUUUAGAGUGUUUAAAGCAGGCUCACGCUUGAAUACAUUAGCAUGGAAUAAUGAAAUAGGACGUUGAUCUUAUUUUGUUGGUUUCUAGGAUUGACGUAAUGAUUAAUAGGGAUAGUUGGGGGCAUUAGUAUUCAAUUGCCAGAGGUGAAAUUCUUGGAUUUAUUGAAGACUAACUACUGCGAAAGCAUUUGCCAAGGAUGUUUUCAUUAAUCAAGAACGAAAGUUAGGGGAUCGAAGACGAUCAGAUACCGUCGUAGUCUUAACCAUAAACUAUGCCGACUAGGGAUCGGAUGAUGUUAAUUUUUUAAUGACUCAUUCGGCGCCUUACG